rnacentral:lncRNA from 1 species
UGAAGAAGACAACUAUACCUUUUAUGUCACAAACGAGCGCGUUAACAAGGCGCGCGCGCGGCCGCUUUCAGACGGCAGCGGGAAAGCACGGCGCCAGCUGUUGGCUCAACAAGCGCGCGCAACGAAAAAA